rnacentral:rRNA from 1 species
CUGGCGGCGUGCCUAACACGAUGCAAGUCGAGCGAGGAGAUCCUCGGGAUGAUCCUAGCGGCGGACGGGUGAGUAACACGUGGGCAACCUGCCUCAUAGAGAGGAAUAGCCUUCCGAAAGGGAGAUUAAUACCUCAUAACAUUGCAGUUUCGCAUGGAACAGCAAUUAAAGGAGCAAUCCGCUAUGAGAUGGGCCCGCGGCGCAUUAGCUAGUUGGUGAGGUAACGGCUCACCAAGGCGACGAUGCGUAGCCGACCUGAGAGGGUGAUCGGCCACAUUGGGACUGAGACACGGCCCAGACUCCUACGGGAGGCAGCAGUGGGGAAUAUUGCACAAUGGGGGAAACCCUGAUGCAGCCAACGCCGCGUGAGUGAUGACGGCCUUCGGGUUGUAAAGCUCUGUCUUCAGGGACGAUAAUGACGGUACCUGAGGAGGAAGCCACGGCUAACUACGUGCCAGCAGCAGC